AUGACCUGGGCUCUGCUCCUGCUCAUGGUCCUCAUUGGGGGCACAGGGACCUGGGCGCAGUCUGCUCUGACUCAGCCUCCCUCAGCCUCUGGUUCUCUUGGAGAGAAGGUCACCAUCUCUUGUGAUGGUACCAGCAAUGACAUUGGAAGGUAUGAUGCAGUCUCCUGGUACCAGCACCUGGAAGGAACAUCCCCCAAACUUCUGAUUUAUGAUGUCAACAAUAGAGCCUCAGGGAUCUCUGAUCGCUUCUCUGGCUCCAAGUCUGGCAACACAGCCUCUCUGAGUAUAUCUGGACUCCAGCCUGAAGAUGAGUCUGAUUAUUACUGCUCUUCACUUAGUUUUGAUACACUUUGCACAGUGGCCCAAGUUCAUAGAGAAAUGAGAGCAAAACCUGCACUGAGCUCAUAAUUUCCUUCUCCCGUGUCCUGAAGAUGUUUCUUUAGACUCUUGGAGAGGAAGCCCAUGCCACAUAGACCAGAAUUUCAGUUUUCUCUGAGCUCCUCUCCUCCUCCACAGUGAAAAUACACUCUUUGCUUUGUUUUGUUGGUGUA